AGCGAACGCUGGCGGCAGGCUUAACACAUGCAAGUCGAGCGGGCAUCUUCGGAUGUCAGCGGCAGACGGGUGAGUAACACGUGGGAACGUACCCUUCGGUUCGGAACAACUCUGGGAAACUGGAGCUAAUACCGGAUACGCCCUUAUGGGGAAAGGUUUACUGCCGCAGGAUGGGCCCGCGUCUGAUUAGCUGGUUGGUGGGGUAACGGCCUACCAAGGCGACGAUCAGUAGCUGGUCAGAGAGGAUGGUCAGCCACACUGAGACUGAGACGCGGCCCAGACUCCUACGGGAGGCGGCAGUGGGGAAUAUAGGAAAAUGGGCGCAAGGAUGAUCCACCCAGGCCGCGUGAGUGAUGAAGGCCUUAGGGUUGUAAAGCUCUUUUGUCCGGGACGAUAAUGACGGUACCGGAAGAAUAAGCCCCGGCUAACUUCGUG
rnacentral:rRNA from 1 species